rfam:Parcubacteria bacterium DG_74_3, whole genome shotgun sequence.
GCGGGAUUAGUUGAGUGGCUCAACGCGACCUUCCCAAGGUUGAAAGGCGGGUUCGACUCCCGUAUCCCGCU